UAGAUUUAGCCUUCAUAAUUUCUCUCAGUUUUCAAAAUUUCUCACUAUUAAUCAAACUAUGACCAUAUGAUUUUGAUUUUAGAUGUCGCUCAAAGGAGGAGAGAAAGUUUCUCAGUGAGGUAGGCUCAUACUCCGAUUCAUCUUUCUUCCUAACAGUGAUGAAGAACUUGCUGAGAUAAUCUUCAAGGACAGGUGGCUCAAUCUCUUCAAUAGCCCUAGCCUCACCUUCCUGCGCAAGAAACUGCUUUAAAAGAUUCAGGUCGUACAAGAAUAUGGUGGUGAUACUCUCCGAGAACCAAAUGAGGAAAGUCUUGCAGCAAGUGACUAAAUAUCACGGGUGGAUGAAGAUUUGUGGAGAAAUAUCAGCAAGAUUAGAACAUUUCAUAUUGGGGUUUGACUUCAUUGUGGAUACAUGGCCUGAAUUUAAAGCUUUGGUUGUACGCUCAAAUAAAAAAUAUUUAAAGUUGUAGUUUCUGGAGUCCUCUGUCAACGUAUAUGCUACAGAUCUGGAUGCACUAAGGCAUCUCCUGCAAAACAAAAAUGUCAUCGACUGGUCAAGAAACCAGAAUUUUGAAUGUGUGGACACGAGGCUGUUACCUGUUGUAAUAGAAGUGAUGAAACAUCAUCAGGUUCCCCUCUUACUUGGAUCGACUGCCGUGUUCCUCCGAGCGACAGAAGAUACCCUGGAACUCAAGCCAAUACCAGAAGGGUUUAUGCUUGAGAGUCUCAAACCAGAUCAAGCCAAAAUGGUUGACACUUCCUGGAAUUUCAGAAGAGAAUAUUCUGCUUGUUACAUCCAAGAAAUGAUACGAAAACUACCUUCAUGUUGUCUUUACAACAGUGAGGGACGCAUGGUUGGCUUUGCCAUCACCUACCACUAUGGCUGCAUUGGGAUGUUACAUGUGUUGGAGGAACACAGAGGGAAGGGAUACGCCAAGGUGAUUAUGUCACAUCUGGCUCGCAAGUGUUUUCAGAAGUGGCAAUGUGUAUCAGUAUUUAUUAAUCCAAAGAACACAAGGUCAAUAAAACUUAACGAAGCCAUAGGAUUUACUUUAGUACCAGAUUUGUUGUUUCAGACAAUAAAGACACAACACACAACACCAUCUCAAUUGUAAUUGAUUGAUAAGAUUACGAUUUCAUUUCGGCUGUUGCUCGUAUGUGAACAUCAAUUAUGAUUGGAAAAUGGGAUCGCCCUAAUAAUACCUUUGCUUCACAAAAGAUAAUUUUCUUUAUUGGUUAGGUAUCCGUUUGUGGGCAUAUACGCAUAGAUAUGCAAAUAACAAAGAUCCGGAAGGUAAUACUUUCAAUGUUGACAAACAAACAUGACGUCGCCCUGUGUAUCGGUGAUCGCGUCGGAAUUGAGCUUUUACCACGUGCUGUGUGCUGAAACAUUCCUUGGAGAGACAGUUCCAAAAGACUCUCGUCCUUGUUACAAAUAAGAACACUGGGCCCCUCGGGUGAAAAGGAUCAAAUGUUUGGAUUCACCAUUAACCUUACAUCUCUAAUGAUUCUGUUACCUCCACGAAAAUGUACUAGUGUCACAUCAAAAAGUAUUUCUGUGGCGCCCAAAGGAGAAACAAAACUCUACAUUAGACUUUCGUACGUAGAACUUUCUAUUUCUUACAUAGGACUUUUUAUCUCCUAAAUAUGACUUUUCAUCACUUUGAAGAUGUCUAAGCAUGCAAUGUUUCACCUCUUCCUUGUUUACAACAGAGAGAACUUUGCUACAUACAAAGGGAUCGGGAUCUUUGACAAUGUAUUUACAUUAUCUGAAGUAAAGUGAAGUGGAAAAUAGUUUCUAUAAUUGCAUCCAAAGCUUUAUCAUAACGUUAUACAGACAAACAUCGGAACAACCUCGUUAUAAAUGUGGCAAAUGUAUGUAGUUAAUUUCCCGCUGAACAUAUAUUUUGCAAAUGUGGUAAUAGAAGCAUGAUUUUCAAGUAAUCAAAUCAUGUUUAACCGCCUCUCUUAGAUAUCAUUUUGUUACGUUCUUGUGGUUUAAAAGAGAAUGAAGUAGCCCUUAUGUGGAAUACAAUGGACACUACCUUUUACAUAAAUCUUGCGUAACACAUAAUUAUGAAUAAACUGAUUCACAUCA
rnacentral:lncRNA from 1 species